rnacentral:rRNA from 1 species
AAUCAACGCUGGCGGCGUGCCUAACACAUGCAAGUCGCACGAGAAAGUGGAGCAAUCCAUGAGUAAAGUGGCGCACGGGUGAGUAACACGUGAAUAAUCUACCUCCGAGUGGGGAAUAACUGAGAGAAAUCUUAGCUAAUACCGCAUAACACUUACGAGUCAAAGCAGCAAUGCGCUUGGAGAGGAGUUCGCGGCCGAUUAGUUAGUUGGCGGGGUAAUGGCCCACCAAGACGAUGAUCGGUAUCCGGCCUGAGAGGGCGCACGGACACACUGGAACUGAAACACGGUCCAGACUCCUACGGGAGGCAGCAGUGGGGAAUUUUGCGCAAUGGGGGAAACCCUGACGCAGCAACGCCGCGUGGAGGAUGAAGUAUCUUGGUACGUAAACUCCUUUCGAUUGGGAAGAUAAUGACGGUACCAAUAGAAGAAGCCCCGGCUAACUUCGUGCCAGCAGCCGCAGU